rnacentral:tRNA from 1 species
ACUAUUUUGGCAGAAAAUUGUAAUAAAUUUAGAGUUUAUAUAUGUAUAUAAAAUAAUACAAAUAGUA